rnacentral:rRNA from 1 species
GCGGCCUAUCAGCUUGUUGGUGGGGUAAUGGCCUACCAAGGCGACGACGGGUAGCCGGCCUGAGAGGGCGACCGGCCACACUGGGACUGAGACACGGCCCAGACUCCUACGGGAGGCAGCAGUGGGGAAUAUUGCACAAUGGGCGCAAGCCUGAUGCAGCGACGCCGCGUGAGGGAUGACGGCCUUCGGGUUGUAAACCUCUUUCAGUUGGGACGAAGCCAGCUUGCUGGUGACGGUACCUUCAGAAGAAGCACCGGCUAACUACGUGCCAGCAGCCGCGGUAAUACGUAGGGUGCAAGCGUUGUCCGGAAUUAUUGGGCGUAAAGAGCUCGUAGGUGGUUUGUCGCGUCUGCUGUGAAAACCUCCCGCUCAACGGGGGGCCUGUAGUGGGUACGGGCAGACUAGAGUGCAGUAGAGGAGUCUGGAAUUCCUGGUGUAGCGGUGGAAUGCGCAGAUAUCAGGAGGAACACCGGUGGCGAAGGCGGGACUCUGGGCUGUUACUGACGCUGAGGAGCGAAAGCAUGGGGAGCGAACAGGAUUAGAUACCCUGGUAGUCCAUGCCGUAAACGUUGGGCACUAGGUGUGGGGUCCAUUCCACGGAUUCCGUGCCGUAGCUAACGCAUUAAGUGCCCCGCCUGGGGAGUACGG